AACGAACGCUGGCGGCAGGCCUAAUACAUGCAAGUCGAACGCACCGCAAGGUGAGUGGCAGACGGGUGAGUAACGCGUGGGAAUCUUCCUUGCAGUACGGAAUAACUCCGGGAAACCGGUGCUAAUACCGUAUACGUCCUUCGGGAGAAAGAUUUAUCGCUGCAAGAUGAGCCCGCGUCGGAUUAGCUAGUUGGUGGGGUAAAGGCCUACCAAGGCUACGAUCCGUAGCUGGUCUGAGAGGAUGAUCAGCCACACUGGGACUGAGACACGGCCCAGACUCCUACGGGAGGCAGCAGUAGGGAAUAUUGGACAAUGGGCGCAAGCCUGAUCCAGCCAUGCCGCGUGAGUGAAGAAGGCCUUAGGGUUGUAAAGCUCUUUUGGCGGGGAAGAUAAUGACGGUACCCGCAGAAUAAGCUCCGGCUAACUUCGUGCCAGCCGCCGCAGUAA
rnacentral:rRNA from 1 species